CGGGGUGUGGCGCAGGCUUGGUAGCGCGCGUCGUUCGGGACGACGAGGUCGCAGGUUCAAAUCCUGUCACCCCGAC
rnacentral:tRNA from 1 species